UGUCUAGUGGCUAGGGUGUUUGACUCCCAGUCGAAAGGUGGUGGGUUCGAUCCCCAUGUCCGCAA